CCUACGGGCGGCAGCAGUGAGGAAUAUUGGUCAAUGGCCGUAAGGCUGAACCAGCCAAGUCGCGUGAAGGAAGAAGGAUCUAUGGGUUGUAAACUUCUUUUAUAGGGGAAUAAAGGUAUCCACGUGUGGAUUUUUGCAUGUACCCUAUGAAUAAGCAUCGGCUAACUCCGUGCCAGCAGCCGCGGUAAUACGGAGGAUGCGAGCGUUAGCCGGAUUUAUUGGGUUUAAAGGGUGCGUAGGUUGUUUUUUAAGUCAGCGGUGAAAGUUUGUGGCUCAACCAUAAAAUUGCCGCUGAAACUGGGAGACUUGAGUGUGUUUGAGGUAGGCGGAAUGCGUUGUGUAGCGGUGAAAUGCAUAGAUAUCACGCAGAACUCCGAUUGCGAAGGCAGCUUACUAAGCCAUAACUGACACUGAGGCACGAAAGCGUGGGGAUCAAACAGGAUUAGAUACCCGGGUAGUC
rnacentral:rRNA from 1 species